GGGCUCAUAGCUCAGUUGGUCAGAGCAGCGGACUCAUAAUCCGUUGGUCCCAGGUUCGAGUCCUGGUGGGCCCA
rnacentral:tRNA from 1 species